UUUCUCAGUAAUCCAACUGUGGACCCACACGUUUACCGAGUAUAACCUUCAUCGAUGUAGAGAAAUAUGCAACACGUUCAACGGGAUGUGAAAGCACUGCAAAAGUUUACAAAUAUUUUGCAGAACCAGGAUAUCUCCAUAACAUCAAAAUUACAUAUAGUGACUCGGAGGCAUUUAUUUUGGCCAAAUGCUACAAAUCGAUGAAGAAGAAUGAAACACCACAUUCCCUUCAAGAGAUAAUUGGUAUGGAUCAAACAACAGUGUCUGGAAAGUGUUCUUGUGUAGCAGGUGUCGGAGGGAUUUGUCACCAUGUUGUGGGCCUUCUUUUUUACUUGUCACACUUUAAGCAACUUGGGCUAAAGAGCUUACCUGAUGAUCUGACAUAUACUAUGAUGGCGCAGCAAUGGAAUGUUCCCAGAGGGAAACACAUAAAUCCUCAAUGUGUGGACACCUUGAUGGUGAAGAUGCCUCAGGAGGGUGCAAACUAUAAUAAAUUCAUUAAAACCA